AUUGAACGCUGGCGGCAUGCCUUACACAUGCAAGUCGAACGGCAGCACGGGAGCAAUCCUGGUGGCGAGUGGCGAACGGGUGAGUAAUAUAUCGGAACGUGCCCGGUCGUGGGGAUAACGUAGCGAAAGCUACGCUAAUACCGCAUACGAUCUACGGAUGAAAGCGGGGGAUCGCAAGACCUCGCGCGAUUGGAGCGGCCGAUAUCAGAUUAGGUAGUUGGUGAGGUAAAGGCUCACCAAGCCGACGAUCUGUAGCUGGUCUGAGAGGACGACCAGCCACACUGGGACUGAGACACGGCCCAGACUCCUACGGGAGGCAGCAGUGGGGAAUAUUGGGACAAUGGGCGAAAGCCUGAUCCAGCAAUGCCGCGUGAGUGAUGAAGGCCUCGG
rnacentral:rRNA from 1 species